GCUUUGUUUGCCCUCGAACGCUGUACCAUGAACACUUUCAUGAACCUUCCUGUUCCUCUUUCCACCUCUCUUUGGACAGUGAUUGCUUCUCCUCCAUUUCUCCUGCUGUGUGCCAUCUGUCCACACUUGUGCAAUAAGAUCAAUAUCCUGUCAGACUUCAUCAUGUGUCCUCUUUAGUAUCUCAUUGUGUAAAUCUGCAUAGCUGUAAAUCAGAUUUAUUUUUUUUAAUUUGAAAAAAUAAUAAUGAAUUCCUCAUCACAGCAAAGAUGUCGUUGUUACUGUGUCAGUCUAGCACAGAUAAUGAAGUCAAUAAGGGAUCUCUGUUAUGCUUGUAUCUGGCCAGAAAAAUUAGUUUUAGAAGUUAAUGCCACCAGGACAGUUGAGGAAAACAGCUGCAACAUAGGACCUGGAUGGUAAAGCUCAAGAGUAAUCAAGAUGUCUGUUCCAUGGGGUAGACUCCCUGUUAUACACACAUCCCUGGGAUACUGGAAACCUUUGACAACCGGAGCCUCACCAUUUCUUUUUUCCCCCUGAAACCCGGAUUUGUUAAAGUAAUAAAGUAGAAAAGUAAUAAAGUAAAAAAGUAAUA
rnacentral:lncRNA from 1 species